AGUCGAAAGAUUAUAUUUAAUUAUUAAAGUAUUAAGCUGUAGUGGUUUCCUUCCUCUUUCACUUCACAUUGCAUCUCUCAAAACUAAAUUAGGGCAAAGUGCAUUCUUCUCUGUCCCUCUCUUCAUUGAAACCAUUGAAGCAGCCGAAGUGGUUGUCUUCCUCCAUCGAAACUCCGGCAGCGGUAUGAACUCUCUCUCCUUCUCUCUCUCACACACAUAAACACUCACCAUAUUUAGACAUCGAAACGCCCUCUUUCUUCCAUGGCCCACCAGCAAAGUAGAUGGAGCUGAGUGUAGCUUAAUCGCCUCCAUGGAGGAUGAGCCGGCAUAUAAGGGUGUCUCCACGAAUGACUCGCCCAGUGUUUUCAUUUCCAAGCUGACAAAUUUCUUUGUUGGUGAGAGUGCAGAGUAGGCUACCUCUGCUCUCUUUUGACCAUUUUCGUUACCCCCUUCAAUCUUUACACUCUUGAUUGGUCGAAGAUAAAAGAUGGUACUAGCUAAAGAGAAGGAUCAAGGAGAUUUCCUUAAGACUCUCAUACAAAGCGGAAAGGCAAAAAGAAGCUAUGGUUGGAAAAUUAGAAAAAGAAAAACAUCAAAGAUGAUUGAAAGUAUGCCGCCAAGAAAUUUGUGAAGGCCUAUCCACGAGCUAUCAUUGUUCAUUGAAUAUGAAAAUAGGGGAAAAGAGCUCAAUUUUCAUUAGGUCUAUGAAGAGACGCAUAGGAAGAAAAUGAAGGACGGUACAAGAGGAGAUUGGGUCGAAACACAUUCUAAGGAUGCUAAGAAAUGGAAGCAAUGAAAAAGCAAACUAUGGAAUUGACACAGUAAUGUGCAGCUAACGAUGCCAAGUUUGCUAAAUUUGAAGAGUUGGUUAAGAAACACAUGCCUCAAGUAUUUCAAGGAAGAUAGUGAAUAUGAUGAUAAUUAAAUUGUAGUUAUUGUUCUUGUUUUUGGUUGUGACAUUUAGAUGCUUAAACUAUUUGAUUUGAUGUUUGUUUUGGAUGUUUUAGAGUGGUUGUAUUUAUAAAUUUUUGUCGUGUUUGAUCC